CAGGUACUACACUGGAUAUCCCAAGGACCUAGGGCCAUCAAGAAUUAUACCAUUUACAUCUGAGCGUCAGUUUGUGCAGCUAUUGCAUGAAGGAAGGCCUGUAGUUGUUGCCUUUACUAUUAAGUGCACUUAUACACAGCAUCUUGAUAAAGUACUGGAAGAGGCUGCUGCCAAAUUUUAUCCACAUAUCAAGUUUGUCAGAGUCGAGUGCCCAAAGUAUCCAGGGUUUUGCCUCACAAGGCAAAGGAAUGAAUAUCCAUUUGUUGAAGUAUUUUACAAUCCAGAACAGGCUGCAAGCCAAAGGA